rnacentral:misc_RNA from 1 species
AAGUCGUAACAAGGUUUCCGUAGGUGAACCUGCGGAAGGAUCAUUAGAAGGUUAUGCCGAAACCGUCCUAGCGGCGGCCGGCAGCCCUCCCACCAUUCACCUUGUGCACGUAUCGAAAUCUUGCUUUGGCAGCACUCUUCGGGCUUUUUUUGGGUCUGGAGGGUCUGCCAGAGAGAAGUUUCUAAUCAUGCCAUGACUUUGCCUGAUCUUUAUACAAAUAACAAAUGAAACAACUUUCAACAACGGAUCUCUUGGCUCUCGCAUCGAUGAAGAC